rnacentral:lncRNA from 1 species
CUAAUAGCUGUGAGUUUUUCUCCCGUCCUCGAUGUGAGUGAUCAGCUACCUUCUCUUUCUCUUUGUGAGAUAUUAUCCUUUGUGGUUUAUACAUAUACUUGGAUAACCUUAAAGAAUGUUUUGUGGGUUGAGCUUUGGAUUUUGGAAGAUCUUAUUGAUCUUGAUAUUGAUUUCAUAAAUUGAGCCCAUUUUUGUACAUCAAUUGAAAGUUAUUGGUUAGUACUUUCAUCACAACUGAAAAUCAACACAACUGAACCUGUAAAUUCAUUUUUCAGUGAAACCAGACAUCUGAUGGAUGAAUGGACACCAUAUUUUGACUCUAAAUGACAAGCCAAAGUUGUCUGGUUGGCACGUACAAUGCGUAGAGCAACAGAGAUGGCAGCACAUGAGGCCUACACGUAGAGAUUGGGGCAGUGUGUGGCGUUGAUUCUCGUCGAGGUCCUUGAAGGCAGUUUGUUGAAAUCUGGACAGUUUUUCCAUUGAGUAUUUGGUUGUCGGAUGUUAUUUUGGGUUGCUGCAAUUGUUGAAGGUUGUAGAGCGAACAGUGGUGGCCUUGAAACUGUAAAUUUUUCGCAUCUUUCCUUUAUUUACAAACCGAUAGUUUGGUAGGCUCGAUGAAUUGGCUGAUCUCUUUCUGUAUUAGAAGGCCAUUAUGUGGGGCGAUCAUUGGGUUUGGGAUUACCGUGCGGGGGUAAACAUUGCUUGUUGCUAGAAUUUAGUAAUUAUUUGCCUUGUUUUAUGUGUUUGAAGUAUUGAAAAUUGUUAAGUUUUAUUGCUGAAAAUUUUUCAUUGAAUCUGUGAUAUAAUUGUUGAAUGAG